UACGUAGGGUGCAAGCGUUAAUCGGAAUUACUGGGCGUAAAGCGUGCGCAGGCGGCUAUGCAAGACAGAUGUGAAAUCCCCGGGCUCAACCUGGGAACUGCAUUUGUGACUGCAUGGCUAGAGUACGGUAGAGGGGGAUGGAAUUGCGCGUGUAGCAGUGAAAUGCGUAGAUAUGCGGAGGAACACCGAUGGCGAAGGCAAUCCCCUGGACCUGUACUGACGCUCAUGCACGAAAGCGUGGGGAGCAAACAGG
rnacentral:rRNA from 1 species